UACGUAUGUCGCAAGCGUUAUCCGGAAUUAUUGGGCGUAAAGCGAGUCUAGGCGGCUUGUUAAGUCAGAUGUGAAAAUGCGGGGCUCAACUCCGUAUUGCGUUUGAUACUGGCAGGCUAGAGUACUGGAGAGGUGGGCGGAACUACAAGUGUAGAGGUGAAAUUCGUAGAUAUUUGUAGGAAUGCCGAUAGUGAAGACAGCUCACUGGACAGAUACUGACGCUAAAGCUCGAAAGCGUGGGGAGCAAACAGG
rnacentral:rRNA from 1 species